AGCCAUGAAGAUAGUACAGAAAAUCGUAUAAAAGUGCGAUACCCCUAUUUGCUUCACAGCCUACACCGAAGCCAAGAUGUUAUUAUCCUAAGUAUACCUCGAGGGGUUGGCAGUUCAUACUUUACCCUGAAGGAACACCUUGCUGGCUACAUUGGUGGUCCCGUGAGGUGGGUUAUUGUAGCGCAGGAACGUGCCAAGUGAAUAUCACUUCAAGCGUGAACACUUGCAACAACGCGUAUGAGGGCGGCGGAUACCCUACCAAAUGCGACAACCCGGCAUGUAAUGGAACGCCCUGUAUCCUCGUAUUGACAGCUCCACGCAGAGCGUAUGCUGGUCUUUGCAAAGGUGCUGAAUGUGUCGCCUCUUAUGAACUGAGUGCAGAAGAGAUAAAAAGCACGCAUCCACAAAUGUACCACAAGUGUCCAGAGAAAGAGCACUAUGGCCGAAAUGUCCUCUCGAGUUGCUACUAUUACUGCCAGAAAAACAGCGGGUGGUACUACGGCUUCUACAGCAGCAACGUCUCCAGUGCCUGUUAUCUGGAAAACCCGGUUCCACUGCAGUAUCUUGGAUGGUGCUGUGAGGGGGAUUGCAUUAAAAAGCCGCAUUGCCAGCGGUCAUAACUUAUUCCGCUAUAAAUGCAUUAUUGUCUGUGUGACCAAGUUGCAGAGGUCACCACCAGUAAUCACUGAGAAAUAUCACUGAAUAAAGUGCCUGAAACAAUAUUAGAGCCAAAAUUU